rnacentral:rRNA from 1 species
UGGGGAAUAUUGCACAAUGGGCGCAAGCCUGAUGCAGCCAUGCCGCGUGUGUGAAGAAGGCCUUCGGGUUGUAAAGCACUUUCAGCGAGGAGGAAGGUGGUGAACUUAAUACGUUCAUCAAUUGACGUUACUCGCAGAAGAAGCACCGGCUAACUCCGUGCCAGCAGCCGCGGUAAUACGGAGGGUGCAAGCGUUAAUCGGAAUUACUGGGCGUAAAGCGCACGCAGGCGGUUUGUUAAGUCAGAUGUGAAAUCCCCGGGCUCAACCUGGGAACUGCAUUUGAAACUGGCAAGCUAGAGUCUCGUAGAGGGGGGUAGAAUUCCAGGUGUAGCGGUGAAAUGCGUAGAGAUCUGGAGGAAUACCGGUGGCGAAGGCGGCCCCCUGGACGAAGACUGACGCUCAGGUGCGAAAGCGUGGGGAGCAAAACAGGAUUAGAUACCCUGGUAGUCCACGCUGUAAACGAUGUCGAUUUUGGAGGUUGUGCCCUUGAGGCGUGGCUUCCGGAGCUAACGCGUUAAAUCGACCGCCUGGGGAGUACGGCCGCAAGGUUAAAACUU